rnacentral:tRNA from 1 species
GGGUUGUUAGCUCAGCGGGUAGAGCAGUAGACUCUUAAUUUAUUGGUCGAGGGUUCGAGCCCCUCACAACCCACCA